AAUUGUCCUACUUAUUACCAUAUUAUUUCAAAUUUCCCCAAAAAAAAUGUCACAAUGUAUGUAAAAUAACAUGACAUAUGAGUUGACGCAAAUUCAAAUGGCUGCUCAUAAAAAGUAUAUAAGAAGGUUUAUAAAGAAACACAAGUUCAUUAAAAGGCAACGUUUUUUGCUAUAGGUACGUAUUUAAUUGUUUUCGCGUAUUUAAAGUACCUAAUUAAUCAAAGGGUCUACAGAAAGAAUCAGAAUGGUAAGAGACAAAUACAUCGUUUGGGUAAUAACGUCAGCCUGCGCACUGUUAUUUUUUUUCAACAACUUGAAUUGCGUGAGAGCUUAUAAAAUGGUAUACCAUCAAUGUGACUAUACGAAAUGCAAUAACCUAUGUUAUCAACAGUACCCAAAUGAACUACAUUUAGAGCCAAGUGUAUUCGGAGAAUGCGAUGCUGAUAACUUCUGCCAAUGUAUCAGAAUUUAUGAUGGGAACCGAGUAUACCUAAAUAGUAACAACUAACGUACGUAUAGGUAAAUAAGUCACCAAAACUAGGAAGUUUAAUUAAGAAUUUAUUGUGCUAUGCUAUCACUACCUAGAAUUAAAUGCAUUAUAUAAUUUAAGGUUAUUCGCUGAUUCCUGAUUCAUACAUACAUACAACAUAUGUACUUAUUACUUGCCUAAUUGACUACGAUAUAAUUAAAGAGCACUUUGAAAAUUAUAGAAUUCCUAAUUUGUAGGUAA